AAAGUAAAAAGUUUGAAACAUUUAUAUUACAUACAUGUAAAAGAAAAUUUCUGUAUAGAAUAAAAUUAUCGGAGUUGAGAUACUUAUAAUUAAAUAACAGAUUUUUAUAAUUUUAAGGAACUAUUUAUAAUUUUUAACGUAUAGUAAAUAUUUCAUGAUUAAUAAUUUUUAAAUGUCUAAACCGGACAAGUUUACCUCUUAAAAAACAUUUUUAAUAAAAUCAUAGGAAAUGCGAUUGUUUCGAACUUUGCCGCUCUUUGUAUUCAAGAGUAUAUGGUGAAAAAUACCUCUGUAUUUGAAAAGAAGACAGGGGUUAUAAUUUAGUUUCUCAUUUAAAAAGUAAAAGGUUAAAUGUCUUUUAUAUAGUGUGAGAGAUUUUAAAUAUAUAUAGCAGAAUGAUGCACUGUGUAAGAACGUUUACUUUCAAACAGAAAAUACCAUUAGCGUUGACAUUAAAAUAUAUCACAGAAUGCAAGCUGGCUGAUAAUAGUGGCAUCAACUUUUUAAUCAGACCUCAAUCUUGUCAUUUUUAUAAGAAUGUACAUACGUCUAAGAGUUUAGUUAAACCAAUAAGUCAAAUUGGAAUAAUUAAAACAUUGUCACAUAAGCUUGAUCUUUUUAAAAAAAAAACUCAUUUAAAUGAAUUGGGUUAUGAUUUGUAUGGUGACAUUCCUGAUGGACUCAAUUAUUCGAUAUUUUACAAAGGUUUCAAUAUGCCAGAUACAUUUUUCUCUUGGUUCCUAGUCACAGAAUUGCAUGUUUGGAUGUUAAUGGUACGUUUCAUGGCUGAAGGAGAGAAGGGCAAAUUAGUUAUAAGCAAAAUGGUUGAGGCUAUGUGGCAUGAUGUUCUUAUAAGAGCAGAAUUACUUGGUCCAAUGACUCCAAGAACAAAAAAAAGACAAGUAACAGAAUUGUCAUAUCAAUUUAAUGCAGCUAUAGUUGGUUAUGAUGAAGGAAUCAUGUCAGAUGACAAGGUACUAGCUAAUGCAUUAUGGAGAAGGUUCUUUUGCUUAGAAUGUAACAAUCCAGAACAUCUAGAAAAACUUUUAAUUUAUGUUAGAAAACAGAUUAAUGUGUUUGAUAAAAUUCCAUCAGAAAAAGUUUUUGAUAGAUCAAUAGCAAAAUGGGUAGAUUUGUAAGGUGUCAAACGAAGAUCAUUAAUACUAUUAAGAAUUUGUAAAUUUUAAUUAGGUGGGCGCGUAAAGGAUAUGCGAAGGUCCUGUCACAGGAUGGUCAGUUCUAGUUCUCAAGUUGUACACAAAAGUAUGUUUAAUAUCAGAUAUGUGCAUACUUCCUUUCCAUGUUCUAUACAAAAUUGUAGAUUAGAUAUUAUAAUCAUUGUCUGUGUAUGCGUAUGUGUGUGUUUCCAAAUUAUAAUUGUGUUGACGUAGUCGCGCUAUUAUCGGUAUUGCGCCGCUACUAUCCUUUAGAUAGCCCAAUCCUAUUUACGUACCCCUUUACAUUUGGAAUUCAGUGACUGGAAUUCUUAUUAUUUUUUUCAUUGUUUAUACGUCACUAUGAAGAUAUUUAAAAAAAUCCCGCUAGAAUUCAUGAGGAGGUAAUAAAUCGACAGUUUCACGCGGCGCAUACGAUACCAAACAUACUUUUAUGUAUAACUUGAAAACUAAAACCGACAACCCGUUAUACGUACCGGAAAAAAUAUUCAAAAUGAUGAUGCUGAUAACAUAUCUCAACAGCAUCUAUCAGGCAUCUCUUAAAUAGUAAACAUUAUUAUUUUCAUUGAAAAAUAAAAGCAGUUUUAUUAUUUAAAAUA